AGUUCACCUCUGUGUGGCAUUGUGUUGGAUAAUUUCAAAGCUUAACAUCAUCUCGAACCAAAGUGCAGGAAUAUAUGGUAGACAGACUGCUAUUUUUAAACACCAUCAACAAACUACAAAUGCCAGGAGAGCGUGUAAGGUUUGUCUUUUAUUAUCAUUUAUUGUCAGCAUUAAGCAAAACAAAUCACACACUUUUAAAAAACAAGUUUAUUGGUGUGGGUUGAGAGUAUAGGAACUGAAUACACACAUACAUAAAUAUAUUUUGGCAGGCACCUUGAAUCUUUGUGCGUGUCCCUUCACAAUAGCAUAUGAACCAACAUGCCAUGUUGUUGGAGUUAGCAUAUUGCGCUAAAGGGCAGGGUGAGGUACGUUGCUUUACAUAGAUGUUUAGGUACCGUGAACUUCAAAGCGUCCUCCGUGCAACAAGACUGGGAAGGUAAAAAGGGGGCUUGACAUUCAGCAUUUAGCAUAUAACUGUCAUGGGCUGCUUUGAUCCAAGCAAAUUAUACUACAACUGAAAACUAGUCAUGCAUACUCUUGUUUACACUGCAUUUCACCUUUUAACAGUUCUGUUACAGUUGUUAUCUGCUAACGCAAUCCUCAACCUUCUCCAAAAUGUCAGGUUAUAGGAGGUGAGGAGAUCUUUCUAUGUCUCCUACACUUCACACCACUGAAAUCUGAUUGGACAUCUACACAGACUCCGGUGGAAUGAAGGAUAGAAUUCACAGAGAUGAGAUUGGAGUAGAUCUACGAAUGGUAGGGAAGCACUUUUAUACCUAUGAGACAAAACAGAAACACAGUGUCAAUAAAACAUAGUACUGUACUUUGUGUAUGGCUGCUAAACCUAAACGUGAAAAUUUUAAUUGUUGUAUUUUCAUAUUGUGUCACUUUUAUUUUGCAUGCUUGAGAGAACAAACAUUGUGACUCGGCCUCUCCCUUCAGCGAGCCCAAACCUGUCUCUCCCUCCGUGCCUGUAGGUCAUAAAGAUUGUGAAUCUCUGAGUUUGCAAAGCUGUCUGAGCAUGCAAUCAUCACUCGUUCUUUCUCUGUUCCCGACCGCAGGAACUCUACACCAGAGGGGGAGGUUUGGGAUCCCAUCAGAUAAGAUCUCUAUUGCAGUCAUAGGCUAAAACUGCAACAGCGGUUUCCAGAUGGUUCCUAGGGAUUCAACCUAGUAUCACUCUGUCAUCCAAAGAAACCCUUGAAGCACCCUUGAGCCCAAGGCUGCUUGCUGUCGUCCACCUGGCCUGAGAAUCCGCAAGUCUUUCUAUGCUGGGAUGCAGCGAAAGAGCGUGACAGCAAAAACCUCUUCCUGUUUUUCCCCUAAGGCUUGUGGAGACAGGCAUUGCAGGAGUGGGACGGGACACUGGUUAUCCUGAGGGGAGCUGCGGCCAAGAUUCUGUAGUGCUUCCAUAAUGCCAUCGAACUGGCGUCUUCAUAAAUGCCUGGUCCCUUGAGACACCAGAAGCGCUGUGUGUUUUACAGGAAUGGAUGCUGUUGUCCUUCAUCGCAACAAUCUGAGGAGUGUAAAAGCGCAUGGGUGAUUCUUGCGAAAUUAGACUUAUGAGGUGUCAUGAAACAUUUUGAUAAAAAAGUAAAUGCAGGGUAAGAGUAUCAAAAUAAGAAGCAUACAGUUACAAACAUCUCUUCAUGUACUAUUUUGCACAUGAUUUCAAAUGACAUCAUACAAACCAAUUUUGUUGUUUUUUCCACAUUUAAGGGAAAAUUUUCAUUACCGCAAUGUGUCCAUGACUGGAUUUGGGUUCUUUGACAUGGAAAUAUUUAUAAUUAAAAACCUAAAAAAUAAAA